CAAUAGCGUAUAUUAAAGUUGUUGCAGUUAAAAAGCUCGUAGUUGAACUUCAGACCUGGCCGGGCGGUCUGCCUAACGGUAUGUACUGUCUGGCUGGGUCUUACCUCUUGGUGAGCCGGCAUGCCCUUCACUGGGUGUGUCGGGGAACCAGGACUUUUACCUUGAGAAAAUUAGAGUGUUCAAAGCAGGCCUAUGCCCGAAUACAUUAGCAUGGAAUAAUAAAAUAGGACGUGCGGUUCUAUUUUGUUGGUUUCUAGAGUCGCCGUAAUGAUUAAUAGGGAUAGUUGGGGGCAUUAGUAUUCAGUUGCUAGAGGUGAAAUUCUUGGAUUUACUGAAGACUAACUACUGCGAAAGCAUUUGCCAAGGAUGUUUUCAUUAA
rnacentral:rRNA from 1 species